GACGAACGCUGGCGGCGUGCUUAACACAUGCAAGUCGAACGAAGUGGCGAACGGGUGAGUAACGCGUAAUCAACCUGCCCUUCAGAGGGGGACAACAGUUGGAAACGACUGCUAAUCCCGCAUACUGACGGUGGGGAUUGCGUCUGAUUCGCUAGUUGGAGGGGUAACGGCCCACCAAGGCGAUGAUCAGUAGCCGGGCUGGGAGGAUGAACGGCCAACUUGGGACGGGGACAAGGCCCAGACUCCUAAGGGAGGCAGCAGUGGGGAAUCUUCCGCAAUGGAGGGAAGUCUGAAGGAGCAACGCCGCGUGAGUGAUGACGGCCUUCGGGUUGUAAAGCUCUGUUAAUCGGGACGCGGUACCGGAAUAGAAAGCCACGGCUAACUACGUGCCAGCAGCCGCGGUAAUUC
rnacentral:rRNA from 1 species